CCGCAAGUUCGGCAGUUCAGCGCUUUAACACAAAGGAAAGGGCUUUCUCAGUGGUGGCCCCCCGGCUCUGGAACUUCCUCCUGAGAGAUAUUAAAUUAGCCACCACCUUGGCCACAUUCCGAAAAGACUUGAAAACCUGGUUAUUCAAUGUGCUUUUGACUAAUUCAGCACAACUUGAUGGAGUCCUUUUACCUCCACCUAUACCCAGCCUCUGCACUUUAUUACUGGCCCACCACCCAUCUUACCAAUGACCUUGCAAUAUAUUGCACAUGUAUAAUUAUUAAAAACCUUAAAAAUUGUGGCAUAGACACUGAGAACUGGGAAGCCCUGGCCCUUGAGCGCUCUAAUUGGAGGUCAGCUGUGUCCAGCAGUGCUGCGGAGUUUGAAGAGGCACGAAUGGAGGGCUUAAGGGAGAAACGUGCCAAGAGGAAGGCCCUUCAAGCCAACCGUGACCAGGACCGCCUUCCACCUGGAAACCGAUGUCCUCACUGCGGGAGAACAUGCGGGUCAAGAAUCCCCAAGACACCAGAAAUGGAAGACAAUCAUCCUCGACCUACGAGGGAUCGCCUAAAUUUGCCUGCACAGAACCAGAGGAGUGGAAGGACAGCAUGGACUGAGCAUUAGAACAUCCAGCCAGCCAGAUACUGAGUAGGGACCAUCACUCAUUGAACCUUUUCAUUAGCCACCCCAAGACUGGGAAUGCUGGAAGAGCUUCAACAAUUUAAAUCGUCUGUCAAAAUUCAAGGCACCUGUCUCUUCUGGCAAGUCUACUCAGUCAGUUUUAAUUUGUGAAUUUGAAUCUGAAUUUUAUUUGUGUGGUCUUUUGUGUAUUAUGUUAUAUGUAUUUUAAUAGGAUUGGGUUUUAUUGCUCUGUUUGAAUUCUGUUGUACCUUGCCUUGAGCCGAAAGGAGAGGCAGGCAGGCCGGCCCAUACCCAAAAAAAAAAAAAAUUGGGAGGGGUUGAAACUGUUUUUCCAAGAUGGCUUUCAGGUCAGUGUCUCCUGGAGAUCUCAACAUUAGUAUCAUUGUACAAAGGUUCUUCACAGGUAAUAGAUCCUGAAUCAUUGCUUCCUCUUUAAGUCAGUUCUUGUAGUUUAGUUUCCACAACUGGCAGAAGUUUCUUUCUGUUUUCUUCUGCUUUCUUCUUAUUUCCUUUAUUAUGAUGAUGGGUUACCUCAAAACGUUUCCCACUGUGAAUUAACAAGAAGUUUUCAGCCAAGCACACGCUGUUCUGAUGGUACUCUGUUUUUUGGUGUCUAUUGAAGACUUGUACUGCAUCUUUUCAUCACACAAAUUGUUUAGCAACCAAUGCACCAAGUUUCUGAUGAACACUUUUACCCCCAACUUCUCCUCCAAACACCACACCGUACUUACAGAGUGCACCUUGUACAUGACAUGAGUAGGCUAACCAGGGAAAUCUUGGAAGAAAAAUACAUGGGGCUACUGUUACUAAGCUUAACACUACUCACAAAGAAUAUGUGUAUCCCUCAUUUUGUUUAAAGACUGACCCAACCCAGCCUGGCUUGAUAAAAACUUACUCUAUUGGGUCUACUCUCAUUUUCCUUGGGUUCGAGCCUAGCUUUAACUGUUUGACAUUGCCAUGUUCUGUUUAAGGAGCGGGAAACUUUGGUCCUGUCUGCAGUUUAAUUAGAGCUCAACGAAUUUGCACUUCCUGAAUUGAUAGGCAAAGUAGAAUGCAGUAAUGUUUUAAUGGCCACACUUAUCGGAAUGUUACGAGGAAAUUCACUGAAGAAAGGAUAUGUACAAACAUGUAUAUUAGGGGAAAGUACUUUUUAAAAAUGUGUAUUUGUUGUGGGGUGGGCGUGGAACACAUAUAUUAUAGCAGUGCGUAAGGAAAAAUAUCUUGCUGUUAAUAUGUGUUUCGGACAAAAAUAUGUAUAUUAGACAGUAAGUGCAAAAAGAUUUUACUCAAGCAUUAGUAAAACCACAAACUCAUGACCAAAUGGAAUGGAAUGGACCAAAGAAUGGGAAAAUGAUAAACAGGGAGAAACUAAUACUGAC
rnacentral:lncRNA from 11 species